GAUCCUGGCUCAGGAUGAACGCUGGCGGCGUGCUUAACACAUGCAAGUCGAACGAAGCACUUAAGGUUGAUUCUUCGGAUGAUUUCUUUUGUGACUUAGUGGCGGACGGGUGAGUAACGCGUGGGUAACCUGCCUCACACAGGGGGAUAACAGUUAGAAAUGACUGCUAAUACCGCAUAACCCGAUAGGAUCGCAUGAUCCGGACGGAAAAGAUUUAUCGGUGUGAGAUGGACCCGCGU
rnacentral:rRNA from 1 species